rnacentral:rRNA from 1 species
AAUAUUGGACAAUGGGGGCAACCCUGAUCUAGCCAUGCCGCGUGUGUGAAGAAGGUCUUCGGAUUGUAAAGCACUUCAAGUUGGGAGGAAGGGCUUUAGGCUAAUACCCUGAAGUUUUGACGUUACCAACCUAAGAAGCACAGGCUAACUCAGUGCUCGUAGCCGCGCUAAUACAGAGCGUCCAAGAGUUAAUCGGAAUUACUGGGCGUAAAGCGCGCGUAGGUGGUUCAGUAAGAUGGGUGUGAAAUACCCGGGCUUAACCUGGGAACUGCUUUCAUAACUGCUGAGCUAGAGUACGGUAGAGGGUAGUGGAAUUUCCUGUGUAGCGGUGAAAUGCGUAGAUAUAGGAAGGAACACCAGUGGCGAAGGCGACUACCUGGACUGAUACUGACACUGAGGUGCGAAAGCGUGGGGAGAAAACA